rnacentral:lncRNA from 1 species
UCUUGAUUGUUCAAUAAUUAUUUAUUUUGCAUCGUGGAUCCCAACAACAGGCAUCAGAGCAUAGUUGGAUCGGAUUAAAUAUUGAUAUCAAAUGAAUUUGUAACAAUUAUCAAUUUAACAAUUUAUAAUAGGGUCAACACCAUUGUUCAAGAAAGUUUGGUAGGGGAAAGGAUUGGAAGCCAAAUAACGUCUCAAUAAAAGAAAAUAGUGGAGUCCAAUGUAACAUUUGAAUCUAAUCCAAUGGAGAGAUGUUUUCACAAUUUUCAAAUAUGUGUACUUCGCCUGGCGCUUGGAUUUUAGCUAUUGGUUGUAGCCAUUCUUUGGUUCGUGUGGUGUAUGUCCAUAGGCACAAAAAAUUUAAAUUUCCAUGCGUUAAUAGGCUCUAAAUGCUGGGCGGAUUUUGUUAGAGGAUUAAAAACUACACAC